GAACUGAAGAGUUUGAUCAUGGCUCAGAUUGAACGCUGGCGGCAGGCCUAACACAUGCAAGUCGAGCGGAUGAAGAGAGCUUGCUCUCUGAUUCAGCGGCGGACGGG
rnacentral:rRNA from 1 species